UUUCCUUUUCUCCUUACAUCCUACAGAGCCAUUUUCAUAGUGCAUUUGACAAACUAAUGGCGAAGGCGUUGUGACUGUCAUUUGACUGUGUGGAGUCGUCAGCUGCUGGGGACUGUGCUUUGAAGUGUGUGGGUGGCUUCAAACACUUGGGGGCAAGCAGCCCUGCAGCUCUGCACCGCUGAGUGGAGGAAAUAACCAGAAAAGAAAGAAGAGGCUGUUUAUUCUGGACAGUUACCUGAGGCUGAGACAGAUGGGAACCUAGAAAAGACUGCAGAAUGGUGUCAGCGUGGAUCUGCCGGACACACCUGCGGCCACUGCUCAGAUGUUCAGCGACAGCUUCUAACAGCCUCCUCAGACAAGCAGCAAACCACAUGGAAAGUUGGCUGAUUACUGGGCGAGCCCGCACUGGUGCAGAUGAACACAUGGAGGACACACGGACGUACAACACAGACCUAAGGACAAGUGUGGGAGCCAAUGUUUUCAGGAUAAAAUCAUAGUAGAAGCCUACAGAAGAAAAAGCAAGUGCAUAUCACUUAGGAAUAACAGCCUGAGAAGAAACUGAAAUGAAAGCUCCCAGCCUGUUGGCAUUUAUUUUUCCUUCACACCCUUAAAGUUCUGAAGCCCUUGUAUUCUAUUUCCAAAACCUGUGAUUAGUGUUUUAACAUUUCCUCCAAUUUUGCUGAGUAAUCUAAUUUGACCUCCAUUUAAGAGAAAAGCCUUCUUAAUCAUUUUGUAACUUUAUUACCAUACAACAUGAAUAACAAAUGUUGAGUGAUCCUUAAUAGGAUCCUAGAUUAGAAAAAAAAAAUCUUUGACCAGGGCAUUAUUAAGACA